GAGUGUGACUGUCACCCAGGGGUGAAGUCAAUAUGCUCACAACUUCAGCCAAUGAUACCAUUUUUUGAAGAAAAGCAUGGAGGUUAUGAGCCCUGAUCUGGUGAACAUGCCCAUGACCUUCCUCAAUCCCAGGUGAGAAGGGGAUGAUGCAGUGAGACACCAGCAGGAGGGAAAGAGGCCUCCCCACAGCUGUGAAGUCACUGACAUCCUGGUCCCAUUGAGCACAAACAAAAGCCAGCAUGGGAGGAAAUUGGACAAUUCCAACAGGAAGCAUAUGGAAACUGGAGCCCAGGAAGUGGAAACUUGGUUGGACUUGAAGAAAAAAACACAUGGCAACUGCUGUCCAGGAAGUUAAGCCUUGGCUGGAGAUGGAGAAAAACUUAAGUGCUCUCAAGUUGGAUCUAGGAUAGCACAUGUUCCAGAAGGAUGAUCUGCAUAGGCCUCUCUCCAUCAUAGGUGAGAGAAGUAAUAAAUGUUUGAAGA